rnacentral:rRNA from 1 species
UACAGAGGUCUCAAGCGUUGUUCGGAUUCAUUGGGCGUAAAGGGUGCGUAGGUGGUGGGGUAAGUCGGAUGUGAAAUCCCGGGGCUCAACCCCGGAACUGCAUUCGAUACUGCCUUGCUCGAGUACUGGAGAGGAGACUGGAAUUUACGGUGUAGCGGUGAAAUGCGUAGAUAUCAGGAGGAAUACCGGUGGUGUAGACGGCUCUCUGGACCGCCACUGACGCUGAGACACGAAAGCGUGGGUAGCAAACAGG